CGGGAACACCAAGGAACCACUUCUUAAUGAUGUGUGUGUGUGUGUUUUGGGGGCGUCCACCUUGCCGUGGAAACCUCACCAACCAGUUUUUAAUCCUAAAGCCUCCCUAUCUGAGAACCAGAUGAGCUACUGUCCACACAUUUUGCAGUGUGGUCAGCAGAAUCACCUGGAAACUUGGUAGAGAUGCAAAUUCUAAGCCCUACUGUAGACAUCCUGAAUCAGAAAGCCAGCAGGGUGCAGCCCAGAAGCCUGGUUGCAUCAGCGCUCCAGGGGAUUCUGAUGCAGUCUCGUUUGGGAAUUUCUGGUGUUUGCUAAAACAGUGGGUCUCAAUAUUGCCCACACAGUGGAAUCAGAAGACCUUGAAAAGAAACACCACAGGUCUGGGCCCCACCUCUGGAGAUUCUAAUUUAAUUGGUCUGGGGUAUGGUGUGAUCAUUGGCUGUUACAAAACCUCUCCAGGUGAUUCUGAUACUCAGAUGAGCAGCGGACCCACCCACCCACUCUCUUAUAAGGGUCAGUUUUCAAAAUAGGAAAGGAGGAUGCAGCAUUGGCAGAAAAACAAAGCGAGCUGGGAGUUUGAAAAAGACAGAUAAAGCAUUCAUACAGAAUGCUUUCUGCUCUCUCUAAAGGCAUCUGAGUCCGUCUCCACAACCUUUUCAAGGGAUGAUUAAUUCUCCAGCUUGAGGUUUGAGAUGAUGCAAUCAUUUUAAAGGCUGUGUUAAGAGUUGAUAUAUUGAAGCUGCUGAUUGAGAUUGUCCAACGUUUGUGAGCUGUUAAAACACCAGGCAGAGGAAAUCCUUCACAAUCUCUUUAUCAAGAGCAGACUAAGCCGGUCUCCUGAAGAUGGCGGAAGAGUAGGGGGACACGCUUGCCCUCUCCCACAAACACAACAACAACAACAAAAGCACAUCUACAGGUGAAUCAACUGGCACAGAACAGCAAUAAUCGCUGGCAAAAGAACCUAAACUCCAAUAACCGCAAGAAUCUCGUGACAUAACUGGGUAAAACAAGAGAAAAGAGGAGAGUGAGACAAGGGGAAUCGGGGCUAGACGGGCUCUCCUGAAAGGGAACUGUGGAGGAGAAAGGGAUCCCACACCCUGGAAAGUCACCUAUGAUGGAAAGAUCAACCAAAUCAGAGAGAUCUCCAGAUGCAGAGAAGAGUGCAGCAGUAAGUCUGAGAUCUGAAGAGUAGAGUGAGCACCAAACAGAUCAUCUGAAAUACUGGCGCAUUCACCAAAAACGGAGACUCUUGGGUGGUGGCUGGGCACCAAGACCUCGGCUCUGGAGGUUUUUGGCUGAGACGCUCAUGUAAUGAAAAAGACAGAUUAACAGGAGAAACCAAAUGGAGAUGGUACAUGGGAGACACCCAGGAAAACUGAGUAACUUUUCUGCAUUUUCACAUAAAAUCAUAAAAGAAUUUCCCUCAUUCUUUGUAUAUUUUAUUUUAAAUGGCUGCAUAAUCUUCUGUCUUUCAGGUGUACCACGAUUUAAGAUAUUAUUUUUAUUAUUAGAUAAAAUAUGGUAUUUUUGUUUACUCUUUUAAAAGUGAAGCUGUAAGUGAGUGAAGCAGUACACAGUGAAGCAGUACACAGUGAGAUGAUAGGUUGAGGGCAUACCAAUAUUAAAAAAUUAAAUUUCUAUGGCUAUAAUCAUACUGUCAUCCCAUUCAAUGAUGUUAUCUCACUGAAUUGGUACAUAAGACUAAUAGCAAAAGCUACAACCAAUCAUUUGAAUGAAACUGGAAUACUGGAUCAAACAUUUGUUGAAUUUUCAUCUGUCUACUGGAUAACUUUACAGCUUUAUUUGUCUCCUAUCUUUGAAGGUAACUGGCUCAGAGAUGGAGAACUGCCAAUACUGGUACAUUAGUAGUUUGGGAUUAACAUAUACACACUACUAUGUAUAAUACAGAUAAUCAACAAAAACCUGCAGAGCAUAGUGAACUCUACUCAAUAUUUAUGAUAACCUAUAUGGGAAAAGAAUCUGCAAAAGAGUAUAUAUAUGUAUAUGUAUAACUGAAUUUCUUUGCUG